UAUCCCAUCGAAGUCCAUGCCCUUGUGAUC
rnacentral:piRNA from 1 species